rnacentral:sRNA from 2 species
AUAUGGCUUUCGCUUAAUCUCUCUUUUUGAGAGAGCGGGGGAACCAAUCAAUUGGGGUUAAUACAGUGUGCUCACACUGUUAGGGUUAUACUUUUCAAUCCGAACCCGUCAGCUAACUUCGUAGGCGUAGAAAAGUUAAGCA